rnacentral:rRNA from 1 species
UAAGGAAUAUUGGUCAAUGGACGCAAGUCUGAACCAGCCAUGCCGCGUGGAGGAUGAAGGCCCUCUGGGUUGUAAACUUCUUUUAUUGGGGAAGAAACCGGUCUUUUCUAAGGCCGUUGACGGUACCCAUUGAAUAAGCACCGGCUAACUCCGUGCCAGCAGCCGCGGUAAUACGGAGGGUGCAAGCGUUAUCCGGAUUCACUGGGUUUAAAGGGUGCGUAGGUGGGCAGGUAAGUCAGUGGUGAAAUCUCUAAGCUUAACUUAGAAACUGCCGUUGAUACUAUCUGUCUUGAAUAUAGUGGAGGUGAGCGGAAUAUGUCAUGUAGCGGUGAAAUGCUUAGAUAUGACAUAGAACACCCAUUGCGAAGGCAGCUCGCUACACUAUUAUUGACACUGAGGCACGAAAGCGUGGGGAUCAAACAGGAUUAGAUACCCCGGUAGUCC